rnacentral:rRNA from 1 species
GUGCCAGCGGCCGCGGUAAUACCGGCAGCCCGAGUGAUGGCCGAUCUUAUUGGGCCUAAAGCGUCCGUAGCUGGCUACGCAAGUCCGUCGGGAAAUCCACUCGCCCAACGAGUGGGCGUCCGACGGAAACUGCAUAGCUUGGGACCGGAAGGCUCGAAGGGUACGUGCGGGGUAGGAGUGAAAUCCCAUAAUCCCGCACGGACCACCGAUGGCGAAAGCACUUCGAGAAAACGGAUCCGACAGUGAGGGACGAAAGCUAAGAUCGCGAACCGGAUUAGAUACCCGGGUAGUCC